UCCUGGUUAGCUCAGUUGGUAGAACGCUCCAUUGGAAAUGGAGAGGUCGCUAGAUCGAUACCAGGAUCAUGCG
rnacentral:tRNA from 1 species